UUAGUGAGGCGUUAUAAUUUGAAUUUUACAAGACAAGAUACAUCUUCUCUCUGGUUUUUGUACAAACAGGAAGCAUCCUUAUUGAAUAUAACUGAUCAAGCUUGUGCUCUGUUCACUCCAUCUGAGGUUGUUUUACUGGAGUGGACAGAUGAUUUGGAGCUGUUCAUAUUAAAGGGUUAUGGUAAUGCAUUAAACUACCGGAUGGGAGUGCCAUUGAG